AGUCGCGAACGGGUGAGUAACGCGUAGGUAACCUACCUUAUAGCGGGGGAUAACUAUUGGAAACGAUAGCUAAUACCGCAUAAGAGUUGACAACACAUGUUGUUAAUUUAAAAGGAGCAAUUGCUUCACUAUGAGAUGGACCUGCGUUGUAUUAGCUAGUUGGUAAGGUAACGGCUUACCAAGGCAUCGAUACAUAGCCGACCUGAGAGGGUGAUCGGCCACACUGGGACUGAGACACGGCCCAGACUCCUACGGGAGGCAGCAGUAGGGAAUCUUCGGCAAUGGGGGGAACCCUGACCGAGCAACGCCGCGUGAGUGAAGAAGGUUUUCGGAUCGUAAAGCUCUGUUAUAAGCGAAGAACGGGAGUAAGAGUGGAAAGUUUACUCUGUGACGGUAGCUUAUCAGAAAGGGACGGCUAACUACGUGCCAGCAGCCGCGGUAAUACGUAGGUCCCGAGCGUUGUCCGGAUUUAUUGGGCGUAAAGCGAGCGCAGGUGGUUUAAUAAGUCUGAAGUUAAAGGCAUUGGCUCAACCAAUGUACGCUUUGGAAACUGUUAAACUUGAGUGCAGAAGGGGAGAGUGGAAUUCCAUGUGUAGCGGUGAAAUGCGUAGAUAUAUGGAGGAACACCGGUGGCGAAAGCG
rnacentral:rRNA from 1 species